UCGGAUAUGGUGUAAUGGUUAACAUUACCGCCUCUCAUCAAUAGGGCUCGCGGUAGCUCGGGGUUCGAUUCCCCGUAUCCGAA